AUGGCAGUGUAGCGGGAGGCGGGCCGCAGGCGGCAGGGUGACCGGACAUCUUGUCGGUCCGAACCCUAUAAAACGGCGUGUCGGGGUCGGCUGGGUCUCUUUCUGACGAAGCAGUGCAGCGGUGUGAAGUUGUUGGUGUGAUGUUACAGUACAAUGGCAUUAAAGAUUCCACAUGGUGGAUACCGUCAUCUAUUCAGUGUAAGCAGUCUGCAAAUUAUCACCAUGGUUCACCAGUUCUUCCUAUCCUGGCGUUAAGUAUUUCCUAUUCCUGGGAGUAAAGGCUGUUUUUAUGGAGGCAUACUGAAUUUUGCCCCUGUGAAUGGGGAUGAAAAUGAGGAAGGCUGGAAUCAGGCACCUAAUGAGAGGAAUGUUUAAUAAAGUUGGAUGAGACUGUACCAGAUUCAACUUCUCAACUGGAGAAGAUGAAAACUCGGAAGAGGUACCUAGAUGCUCUAACGAGAGCAGUGUGAUCUUCAGGUGGGCUUCUGAACGAUUUAAGUGCAUUUGACUUCUCUUUGAAGCUGCCAACUUUGAUGUUCAGAGGCUGAAAUCAACAGUUCUGUUGAAUGUGUACUAGUAUUUUCUUGGUAUUUCACUUCUAAAUAAAAGUUCAUGUUGAAAUCA